UUUAUGACCUCUGACCUCAAAUCAGGUAGGACUA
rnacentral:rRNA from 1 species